AGGGGUAAAAUCCGUAGAGAUCAGAAGGAAUACCGAUUGCGAAGGCGAUCUACUGGAACAUUACUGACGCUGAGAUGCGAAAGCGUGGGGAGCAAACAGGAUUAGAUACCCUGGUAGUCCACGCCCUAAACGAUGCACACUAGUUGUUGCUAUGCUAGACAUAGCAGUAAUGCAGUUAACACAGUAAGUGUGCCGCCUGGGGAGUACGGUCGCAAGAUUAAAACUCAAAGGAAUAGACGGGGACCCGCACAAGCGGUGGAGCAUGUGGUUUAAUUCGACGAUACGCGAAGAACCUUACCUGGCCUUGACAUAGAAAGAAUUCUUUAGAGAUAGAGAAGUGCUAGUUUACUAGAACUUUCUUCUCAAGGUGCUUGCGACGGCUGUCGUCAGCUCGUGUCGUGAGAUGUUGGGUUAAGUCCCGCAACGAGCGCAACCCUCGUGUUUAGUUACUAACAGUUCGGCUGAGGACUCUAGACAGACUGCCUGGGUAACCAGGAGGAAGGUGGGGACGACGUCAAGUCAUCAUGGCCCUUACGGCCAGGGCUACACACGUGCUACAAUGGGGUAUACAAAGAGCCGCGAUACCGUGAGGUGGAGCAAAUCUCAUAAAAUAUCUCCCAGUUCGGAUAGUAGUCUGCAACUCGACUACUUGAAGUUGGAAUCGCUAGUAAUCGUAGAUCAGCAAUGCUACGGUGAAUACGUUCCCGGGUCUUGUACUCACCGCCCGUCACACCAUGGGAGUUGAUUUCAUUCGAAGCGGGGAUGCUAAAAUAGCUACCUUCCACAGUGGAAUUAGCGACUAGGGUGAAGUCGUAACAAGGUAACC
rnacentral:rRNA from 1 species